CUGCACUGAUGACGUAGAUGUGGCUGACCUGGAAUUGCUGGCCUCCGGGUCGGCUCUGUCCAGGAAAUGACCUCAGUAAAUCUUCUCUCUGAGCAG